GAACGAGUUCUCGUUGAUGAUCGGUGCUUGCACCGAGAUUCAACAUGGAACGAGUGGCGGACGGGUGAGUAACACGUGGGUAACCUGCCCUUAAGUGGGGGAUAACAUUUGGAAACAGAUGCUAAUACCGCAUAGAUCCAAGAACCGCAGGGUUCUUGGCUGAAAGAUGGCGUAAGCUAUCGCUUUUGGAUGGACCCGCGGCGUAUUAGCUAGUUGGUGAGGUAAUGGCUCACCAAGGCGAUGAUACGUAGCCRAACUGAGAGGUUGAUCGGCCACAUUGGGACUGAGACACGGCCCAAACUCCUACGGGAGGCAGCAGUAGGGAAUCUUCCACAAUGGACGCAAGUCUGAUGGAGCAACGCCGCGUGAGUGAAGAAGGCUUUCGGGUCGUAAAACUCUGUUGUUGGAGAAGAAUGGUCGGCAGAGUAACUGUUGUCGGCGUGACGGUAUCCAACCAGAAAGCCACGGCUAACUACGUGCCAGCAGCCGCGGUAAUACGUAGGUGGCAAGCGUUAUCCGGAUUUAUUGGGCGUAAAGCGAGCGCAGGCGGUUUUUUAAGUCUGAUGUGAAAGCCCUCGGCUUAACCGAGGAAGCGCAUCGGAAACUGGGAAACUUGAGUGCAGAAGAGGACAGUGGAACUCCAUGUGUAGCGGUGAAAUGCGUAGAUAUAUGGAAGAACACCAGUGGCGAAGGCGGCUGUCUGGUCUGUAACUGACGCUGAGGCUCGAAAGCAUGGGUAGCGAACAGGAUUAGAUACCCUGGUAGUCCAUGCCGUAAACGAUGAAUGCUAGGUGUUGGAGGGUUUCCGCCCUUCAGUGCCGCAGCUAACGCAUUAAGCAUUCCGCCUGGGGAGUACGACCGCAAGGUUGAAACUCAAAGGAAUUGACGGGGGCCCGCACAAGCGGUGGAGCAUGUGGUUUAAUUCGAAGCAACGCGAAGAACCUUACCAGGUCUUGACAUCUUUUGAUCACCUGAGAGAUCAGGUUUCCCCUUCGGGGGCAAAAUGACAGGUGGUGCAUGGUUGUCGUCAGCUCGUGUCGUGAGAUGUUGGGUUAAGUCCCGCAACGAGCGCAACCCUUAUGACUAGUUGCCAGCAUUUAGUUGGGCA
rnacentral:rRNA from 1 species